AUUUUUUCGCCAUGAUUGAGCAGACACAGUUCAGAGAAAGCCUCCGCAAAAAAUCCUAAAUCUAAAGUAUCAAGGAGAGCUCCGUCUGCAGCCGAGAGAGGCUGAGAAGGAACUGAGGGGAUGGUCAGGGGUCUGUGCGCUACAGGAGACACCAAUGGCUGCACAAGACAGCUCCUUGUGCGCCCUUCCCCUGACCAAGAACUGCUGCGAAAAAUCUCCGAUCUCCGGCGCAGGGACGCACCGACACCUAGAGUAGAGCACACACCGGGACACCACUCGAAGAAGAAUCAAUGUUUGCCAAAGAAAAAGGCCAGACUCGGAGGGAAUAUGUUAUGUUCAUAUUUUUGACUAUUGUAGGAGUCUUGAUUAGUAAAGACAAUAAUAAAAAAUAAUAGUGAUUUCAAUCACAAAAGACUCUCAUUCCAUCAAGAUGCUCAUCGAGAGAAGAAAUAUUGAACAAGAACUCAAGUAUAAAGUAUUUCUUUUACAGUUCAUGGCACAAUGUUAUAUACCAAGCAACAGUAACUCAAUUACAUUUAGUAAUAAAGUUAAAUGAAAAGUUUAUUCAAAAAUGUAAUAUGUUGUAGCAGCUAGAAAGUUUUACAUUACCUUGAGGAUUCUUCCUUCAAUACAUUUAACCGGGUCCCGACAAAUUUCAGAAACAAAGUAUUGGUACAAUGUAAACAGUGGCAAAACCUGCAGGAAAAAAAAUGUUAGGCGGUCUAUACAUAAAAGCCAGAAAGUCUGCCAAUACAAAAAUACAGUACUGCAAAGACUACAUUAAAGAAAACACAUGAAAGUAACCUAAUUUAUAGUGCUAGUACUUCCAUUGCCAUCCUGGCUUGAUAUCUUCUUCAGAACUGCUUCUCUUGUGUUCUAUGAAGAAUGGAUACUUUACAAAAUUCUGUAAAUGGCUAAAGCCAAUCCUACUAUUCUUAAGAGCACUGUCUUUCAUCUGAUCAAUACAACAGAAUUUAAAGUUUCCUCAAAAUUGUCCUCUUAGCUCAAGGGUGUUUGAUGUACCAUAAGAGUACAUCUACUUGAAAGAAUUUAGUACACAGGGUUGCUCAAAGAGUCUGCACUCUGAUGCCAAAAAUUUUCUAAAACAAUCACUAAAAGGAUAAAACGAUACCGAUGACAUUAUAAAAUAGUAAAUACCUAGUCAAAUAUAAUAAUUUUCUAAUUUAAACUAUUUAGAUUAGAAUACAAAUUGAAUCCUGACGAGGCUCAGCUGAGUUGGACCUGCUUAUCCAACAGUGAAUGUGCCUCUUGAUCUAAAUUAUUUUUAUUAGACAAAGUUAAUAAAAGGUAAAUGCUUGAUCCUAUAAUCUUUACUUAUGUGAUUAAUAUUUAACUAUCCAAACAGUCCCAUUAAUUUCAAUUUAACUGCAGAUCUAAGUGUAACUCACACAAAAAAGUAUAAUGUACUAGGACCCAGUCCUGCAAUAAUAAAUAAACUUUGUUCACUAUUUUACAGAUUAAAAUAUACUCA